CCUACGGGGGGCUGCAGUGGGGAAUAUUGGACAAUGGGGGGAACCCUGAUCCAGCCAUGCCGCGUGUGUGAAGAAGGCCCUCGGGUUGUAAAGCACUUUCAGUGAGGAAGAACGCCUGGUGGUUAAUACCCAUCAGGAAAGACAUCACUCACAGAAGAAGCACCGGCUAACUCCGUGCCAGCAGCCGCGGUAAUACGGAGGGUGCGAGCGUUAAUCGGAAUUACUGGGCGUAAAGCGCGCGUAGGUGGCUUGAUAAGCCGGUUGUGAAAGCCCCGGGCUCAACCUGGGAACGGCAUCCGGAACUGUCCAGCUAGAGUGCAGGAGAGGAAGGUAGAAUUCCCGGUGUAGCGGUGAAAUGCGUAGAGAUCGGGAGGAAUACCAGUGGCGAAGGCGGCCUUCUGGACUGACACUGACACUGAGGUGCGAAAGCGUGGGUAGCAAACAGGAUUAGAUACCCGAGUAGUC
rnacentral:rRNA from 1 species